ACCUGCCUUUAGGAGGGGGACAACAUUCCGAAAGGGAUGCUAAUACCAGCAUAAAGAUUAUUGUAUCGCAUGGUAUAAUAAUAAAAGAUUUAUCGCCUAAAGAUGGACUCGCGUCCGAUUAGCUAGUUGGUGGGGUAAAAGCCUUCCAAGACGACGAUCGGUAGCCGAACUGGAGAGGUUGAUCGGCCACAUUGGGACUGAGACACGGCCCAGACUCCUACGGGAGGCAGCAGGGGGGGAUAUUGCGCAAUGGGGGAAACCCUGACGCAUCAUCGCCGCGUGAAGCAAGAAGACCUUCGGGUUGUAAACUUCUUUAAGUGUGGAAGAUAAUGACGGUACACACCGAAUAAGCCACGGCUAACUUUGUGCCAGCAGCCGCGGUAAUACGUAGGUGGCCAGCGUUGUCUGAAUUUACUGGGUGUAAAGGGCGUGUAGGCGGGUAGACAAGUCAGAUGUGAAAUUCCGGGGCUCAACUCCGGGGCUGCAUUCGAAACUGUCUAUCUUGAGUGUCGGAGAGGAAAGCGGAAUUCUUAGUGUAGCGGUGAAAUGCGUAGAUAUUAGGAGGAACCCCCGUGGCGAAGGCGGCUUUCUGGACGAUAACUGACCCUGAGGCGCGAAAGCGUGGGGAGCAAACCGGAUUAGAUUCCCUGGUAGUUCCCGCCGUAAACGAUGGAUACUAGGUGUAGGAGGUAUCGACUCCUUGUGUGCCGCAGUUAACACAAUAAGUAUCCCACCUGGGGAGUACGGUCGCAAGAUUGAAACUCAAAGGAAUUGACGGGGGCCCGCACAAGCAGUGGAGCAUGUGGUUUAAUUAGAAGCAACGCGAACAACCUUUCCCGGACUCGACAUCCCACCCAUAGCCUAGAGAUAGGUGACGUCCUACGGUACGUGGACACAGGUGGCGCAUGGUUGUUGUCAGCUCGUGUCGUGAGAUGUUGGGUUAAGUCCCGCAACGAGCGCCCCCCUUCCUGUCAGUUCCCCUCAUUAAGUUGGGGACUCUGGCAGGACUGCCGGUGACAAAUCGGAGGAAGGUGGGGACGACGUCAAAUCAUCAUGCCCCUUAUGUCCUGGGCUACACACGUACUACAAUGGCUGUUAACAAAGUGAAGCAAACGCAGUGAUGUGGAGCAAUACCCAAAAAGCAGUCUCAGUUCAGAUUGCAGUCUGAAACUCGCCUAUAUGAAGUCGGAAUUGCUAGUAAUCGCAGAUCAGCAUGUCGCGGUGAAUACGUUCCCGGGCCUUGCACACACCGCCCGUCA
rnacentral:rRNA from 1 species